GUGGAAGUAUCCUCACAUGAUAACCUAUCGCCAUAUGAAGCCAUGCUUGGUUUCCUAGUGAGAUUAGGAGUUGCAUCAAUUACUUUUCAGAUCAAGUCGCCAAUUUAAAUACUGAAGAAGAUAUCAAAAAUAUUAUAGACAGCCAAUUAGAGAAAUCUCCCGAUGAUGACAUAGAUCUAGUUAAUCAAAAACAAUAAAACAUACUUAGUGCUUGUGAGGAAUCGUUGAAAUUUUUAGAAAACUGGUUAAAAAAAUGAUAAAAAGAUAAAACAGGUAACUAAAAUGUAUAAAUGUAGAACUACUGUUCGAAUACCAAUCUCUGAUGUUGAUAAGGCUAGAGGAUUACCUCCGAAUUUAUUACUUGUUAUUAGCUGUUGUCACCGAUAUUCAAGAUGGCUUGCACAAAUUAUAAAUAAUUCGAUGUGACGAAAACUUUCUUGAUUUGAAGGAGACAUCAAAUUCAGCGAAUGAAAAGGAAACUAUUCUCCGAGAGGCUGCUGGGUGUAACCAUAUUGCUGGGACUAAGGGAUAUCAUAGGUGUCGUUGUAAAACAAA
rnacentral:lncRNA from 1 species